rnacentral:rRNA from 1 species
GCAGUCGAGCGGUUGAAGCCGUAUCGGGCUUUGGUAGCGGCGGACGGGUGAGUAACACGUAGGUAACCUGCCGAUCAGACUGGGAUAACUACCGGAAACGGUAGCUAAGACCGGAUACGUUUGCGAGAGGGCAUCCUGUUGCAAAGAAAAGCGGAGCAAUCUGCUACUGAUUGAUGGACCUGCGGCGCAUUAGCUAGUUGGUGAGGUAGCGGCUCACCAAGGCGACGAUGCGUAGCCGACCUGAGAGGGUGAACGGCCACACUGGGACUGAGACACGGCCCAGACUCCUACGGGAGGCAGCAGUAGGGAAUCUUCGGCAAUGGACGCAAGUCUGACCGAGCAACGCCGCGUGAGUGAUGAAGGUUUUCGGAUCGUAAAACUCUGUUGCCAGGGAAGAAUGAUCAGGCGAGUAACUGCGCUUGAUGUGACGGUACCUGAGAAGAAAGCCCCGGCUAACUACGUGCCAGCAGCCGCGGUAAUACGUAGGGGGCAAGCGUUGUCCGGAAUUAUUGGGCGUAAAGCGCGCGCAGGCGGUCAUUUAAGUCUGGUGUAUAAACCAAGGGCUCAACCUUUGGACGCAUUGGAAACUGGGUGACUGGAGUGUAGGAGAGGAAAGUGGAAUUCCACGUGUAGCGGUGAAAUGCGUAGAG